UACAGAGGGUGCAAGCGUUGUUCGGAAUUAUUGGGCGUAAAGCGCGUGUAGGCGGCUAUGCAAGUCGGGCGUGAAAGCCCUCAGCUUAACUGAGGAAGUGCGCCCGAAACUGCAUGGCUUGAGUACCGGAGAGGAUGGCGGAAUUCCCCAAGUAGAGGUGAAAUUCGUAGAUAUGGGGAGGAACACCGGCGGCGAAGGCGGCCAUCUGGACGGAUACUGACGCUGAGACGCGAAAGCGUGGGUAGCAAACAGG
rnacentral:rRNA from 1 species